rnacentral:rRNA from 1 species
GGGGGACAGAGUGACAGGUGGUGCAUGGUUGUCGUCAGCUCGUGUCGUGAGAUGUUGGGUUAAGUCCCGCAACGAGCGCAACCCUUAAGCUUAGUUGCCAUCAUUAAGUUGGGCACUCUAAGUUGACUGCCGGUGACAAACCGGAGGAAGGUGGGGAUGACGUCAAAUCAUCAUGCCCCUUAUGAUUUGGGCUACACACGUGCUACAAUGGACAAUACAAAGGGCAGCGAAACCGCGAGGUCAAGCAAAUCCCAUAAAGUUGUUCUCAGUUCGGAUUGUAGUCUGCAACUCGACUAUAUGAAGCUGGAAUCGCUAGUAAUCGUAGAUCAGCAUGCUACGGUGAAUACGUUCCCGGGUCUUGUACACACCGCCCGUCACACCACGAGAGUUUGUAACACCCGAAGCCGGUGGAGUAACCAUUUGGAGCUAGCCGUCGAAGGUGGGACAAAUGAUUGGGGUGAAGUCGUAACAAGGUAGCCGUAUCGGAAGGUGCGGCUGGAUCACCUCCUUUCUAA